GGGUAAGUCUUUCACGACCAGCUCCUGUCAAAUCCCCCAGGAUGGGAACAUAGCAAGGGUAGAUGGUUGUAGCGGUGCGAUGAAAGUAGCUUACCCAUU
rnacentral:SRP_RNA from 1 species